GCGUGUGUAGCUCAAUUGGCAGAGCACUGGACUCCAAACCCAGUGGUUGAAGGUUCGAAUCCUUCCGUGCGCGCCA
rnacentral:tRNA from 1 species